GGGGAAUAUUGGACAAUGGGGGCAACCCUGAUCCAGCCAUGCCGCGUGAGUGAUGAAGGCCCUAGGGUUGUAAAGCUCUUUCAACGGUGAAGAUAAUGACGGUAACCGUAGAAGAAGCCCCGGCUAACUUCGUGCCAGCAGCCGCGGUAAUACGAAGGGGGCUAGCGUUGUUCGGAAUUACUGGGCGUAAAGCGCGCGUAGGCGGAUCGGUCAGUUAGGGGUGAAAUCCCGGGGCUUAACCCCGGAACUGCCUUUAAUACUGCUGAUCUGGAGUUCGAGAGAGGUGAGUGGAAUUCCGAGUGUAGAGGUGAAAUUCGUAGAUAUUCGGAGGAACACCAGUGGCGAAGGCGGCUCACUGGCUCGAUACUGACGCUGAGGUGCGAAAGCGUGGGGAGCAAAC
rnacentral:rRNA from 1 species